rnacentral:rRNA from 1 species
UACGAAGGGGGCUAGCGUUGUUCGGAAUUACUGGGCGUAAAGCGCACGUAGGCGGAUUCGUAAGUCAGGGGUGAAAUCCCGGGGCUCAACCUCGGAACUGCCUUUGAUACUGCGGGUCUUGAGUCCGAUAGAGGUGGGUGGAAUUCCUAGUGUAGAGGUGAAAUUCGUAGAUAUUAGGAAGAACACCGGUGGCGAAGGCGGCC